CCCACGGGUACCGUUCACAGACUAAGUGAUUGUGGGCGGGGCGAUCGUGCCCUGUCUAAGAUAUAGUCGGACUCUACCCGAAAGGAUAGAGGAUAGCAUGUCCGUAGGUGAACCUGCGGAAGGAUCAUUA
rnacentral:rRNA from 1 species